UACAUGUAUGUGUGUGUGUGUGUGUGUAUGUGUGUAUCUGUGUACACAUGUAUGUGUGUGUGCAAGUGCCCACAGUGUCCAGAAAAGGGUGUCUGAUACUGUUAGGUUUCAGUCAGGGGGUUGUGAGCCACCCUGCAUGGGUAAUGGGAACGAAACCUAAGCCCUCUGAAAGAGCAGUAUGCGCUCUUAACCACUAGGCCGUCUCAGCAGCCCUUGUCUUGAAAACGUGAGGAUUUCAUUUGUCAUCUAUCCAUUCUCAGUCAUUCCCACUGCUAUUACCAUCCCCAGACAUCACCUAUCUUGUUACUGACCAUACUGUCUUCUGAAACCAUGUGCCCAUCACCACUGUUACUAUUAAUAAUAGUUAAUAAAUUCUCUCUCCUCUCUUCAUUUUCUUUUUAUACAAGAUUAAAUAUGUACUAUCUAAUAUAGCAGCUGUUAGCCACAGUAAGGCCAGUCUGAAUUACGAUGUGUUAUAUGUGUAAAAUACACCCCAGAUUUUGAAGAUUUAAGAUGACAAAGAGGCUAAAAAGUUUUCCACAGUUCCAUGUUAAGUAGUAAAAUAAUAAUGUUUGGGACAUACUGGGAAUAAACUAUCAUAUGAAAUCCACUUCACAAAUUUUUCUUUACAUAGCUACCUAAAUUUUUAAUUAGGUAUGUGUCUGAAAGACCAUCCUGUCUUUUUCAUUGAUGUAAUGAUUCACCCAAUUUAUUUUGUGAUUAUCAAAUUUGGGCCAGACAGGUCUAGGCAACAGAACUACACAGCAAACAGGACGUUUCAACCCCUCGCCCGUGUGGCUCAUCAUUAGCACUUUUUCCACCCAGUGCCCCAUGGGACACCUGGCCAACAGGAACUGAUCAAGGAGCAUUUGAUGACCAAUCCAUUUGGCUGUGGUGGCCUGCUCUAUACGUGAGACACCAGAGUCCCCCUUUCUUUGUGACUGGGGACAUAGUUUUAACUUCAUGCUGGGUGGAGUCUUAAGUCUUUCACUUUCUCAUCUGCCACCACAGUUUCUUCUCUCUCAGGAGCUACUUCUGCAGUCUGCUUUUACUUGUUUGUGGCUCCCCCAAUUCUGAAGUUUGGCUAUCAGGGCAUUUGACUGCGCUAAAAGACUAGUCGUCAUGAUAACUGAUAUUUUUCUGAUAAAGUCUCUUUUCUAAAUAUCCUGCAUCUUAUUCACAAUUAUAAAUGCCAUGUUAUUUACAAAUGAAUCAUUGAGUUCACCAAAAUGUUACAUAGAUAACAUGAUGUUAAAAGGCUAUCAGCCAAAAGAUAGAAAUGCUAAUUCCUAAAAUGGAUCUUAGGACCACUGUACAGCUAAUUUAUUACUCUUUUUUAUCUUUCUCAUGGCAUGUUUUUGCCUAUGUAGAAAGCAUAAAAACAUUUUUUUUUUUUUUUUUGAGACAAAGUCUCAACUAUGUAGCCCAGGAAUUCAGUACUUUGACCAGGCUGUCCUCUAACUCACAGAUACCUGCCUGCCUCUGCCUCCCAAAUUCUGGGAAUAAAGGCGUACGCUACCAAGUGUAGCAAUGAAUGUCUUUAUAUACAGAAAAUGAUUCAACAUUUCUUUGCAAACUAAACCAAAGAUAUGAAAAGAAAGCCACUUUCCGCUUUCCACUUUCCACAGUUCUCUCAACUACCAAAGCUGAACACAAAUAUUAAGAGUACAGGCCACAUGAAGUCUGCCAGCCAGAGUAGUAACUGAAUAGUGGACACUGACUCUCCUAACUUUCCCUGCUGCUGAAGGAAGGGAGUAGCAAAAAGCAAAGAAAGCACAAUUUAAAUUCUGAAAACGGCCUUUGAAGUGUGCAGGGGUCCUGUACUUACCAUCGGCUUUGGAAGCGAAAGAUGGUCGUACUUCUCUCCUACAAAUAACAUACAUCGUUUAAGAACUUUUUCUACUGAUGCAGUUUUAUUAUUCACAUUUGGCUUUUAAAAUCGCAAACAAAUAUGACACAUUGGUUGUGAUAAUCUACACUGUCGAUUAUAUGUCAUUCAGACAUGACAGCCUGACUUGGCUGGCAAGCAUGAAGACGGUCAGCUCCUGUAUCUCCAAGGCACCUCCAACGCCAGAGCUCGUCCCAAGCAAAGGAAAAGGAAAAGCAGAAUGUGUCAUUGGGAUUGACUUCCAUUUCCUGGUAGCCUCGCUCAGAGUGAUCCUUCCCCCAGCCUGGUACUCCCAAAACCAGAAUCCUCCCAUCAGGACCAGUAUCUGUGCUUUUUCCCUCCUCCACAUACCAAAUCACAUCAUCUCCAACUAUGCUCACUCAGGGACAGAACAACCCCGUGAACAAGACAGGAGAAUGAAAUAAAGCACACAGGUCGGGGGCUGUGAAAUGACGCACAGCAUGAAGUGGAUAACAGGAAAGGAGGGCAAUCUACAAUGUCCAUUCCACGCCUGCCCUAUCUGCCAUUUUUCUGGCUUGCAGAUCAGUUUACAAUACAUGAUUUGUUCUUGGUUUUGUUUGUUUGUUUAUUUGGGACAGGGUUUCUCUGUGUAGUCCUGGCUGUCCUGGAACUCACUCUGUAGACCAGACUGGCCUCGAACUCAUAGAGAUCUGUCUACCUCUGCCUCCCAAGUGCUGGGAUUGAAGGUAUGGGCCACAAUACUCAGCUUUGAUUUCUUUUUUAAAGCUAGUCUGUGAUAGCUUAGGUGAGAAUUUAAGAUAAGAUUUGUGAAAGAAUAAAUUUAAAAAACAAUCCAAAUAGCAUAAAGAAUCAAGAUUAGAAACCCACAUUCACCCAUGUUGCUACUUUUCAAAUACACUUAGCAUUAACAUUUUAUCUUAUUUAUUACUAUAGUUUAUUUAUUUAUUUUAGGUUUUUUGAGACAGGGUUUUCCUGGGUAACAGUUUUGGCUAUCCUGGAACUUGCUUUGUAGACAAGGCUGUCCUCAAACUCAGAGAUCCACUAGCCUCUGCCUCCUGCUGAAUUAAAAGCAGGCAUCACCGUGCCCAGCUUAGCAUUAACGUUUUAGUGGGGGAUAGGGGAAGCGAGUUCUUUGAGUGUCCUGGUUGGGUGUUUUUGGUAAUUUUACACAUUACUUUUGGUUACAGUAUUUAUCACAUCAAUAGAAACCCUAAGACUUUUAGAAACCAUCUUUACUUAAUAGACUAUUUUAGUUGUAAGAAUAAAAUAAAUGAGUAUAAAUUUUUUAAAAAGAUUUGAAAAGCAAUCACUGAGGUUUUUGGUUGUUGGUUUUGCUUUAUUGUUCUUCCUUGUGGUGCUGGGGAUUAAACCCAAAGCCUUUCGAAAACUAUACGACUGUACCCAACUAUACGACUAACCCGAAGCUGGGCCGGUAACGGCUUCUUUUUCCCCUUGUUUUAAACAUGUAUCUACUUGUGUGAGUGUACAUGCAGAGGUCAGAGGACAACCUGUGGGAAUCAGUUCCCUCCUCCUGCUUGGUCAUCAGGCUUGGUGGCAAGUACCUUAAUCUGCUAAAUUGUGUCGGCAGCCCGAUCUGGCUAACAGACUUCUUCUUUUCAAGGAAAAACGAGGGCCGGUUUAUUACCAGGCAACUUGAUUCCUGUUUCCUUUGGCUGAGGCUGAUCUACAGGAUGAAUUGCUAUUAAGGGCCAUUUAGUGGAACUUGAAAAACAAUGAUCACUUGGGUAAGUUCUUUAGAACAUCAGAAUUGCAGGGGAAUCUUUAAAUUGUUUGCUGGCCUUGGAUUUGGGAGGAAGGAGCCGCUUUCCUGCCUCGCCUCCAGCCUCUGACAUGCAAUGAUGAGAACUGCGAGAAGACUGACAGCAGAUGGUCCUCAGGUCUCUUGGAAUCUCAACAUGUACAGCACUGGAAUCGAGUCUGACUCUUCAGUCUUGAGACACCAUAAAGAGGGUACAGUGGUUACUCAGGCACAGCAGGCUUGCGAAGUAACCUUGUGUCGUCUAACCUCGUGGUCCUCCAUUGUUGCCGCAGCCCUGAAAUGCAGGCAUUUGCCUUCCCAAAGAGUUGACAGAGGCACCGUCUCCACGGCUCUUGUGUCUCUCACACAACAGAGCUGAAGCAGACUACAGUGUCGAGAGAACUAAGCACACUGGAAGGAGCUUUGGCCCGAGUUACUUUGCCGCCAUCACCAUCCACCUUCGAGUACUCGCCACCCGGUCAACCCCAGUGACCUCUUAGUUCUUAUUGAUUUGCUAAUCCAAUGUAAAAGGAAAAGAAACCACAGGGACUAUGCCAUCCAAAACCAAGUACAGAAUUCUCCCGCUUAAUCGCAGCCUGUCCACGGUGGAUAGUGGAGAGGACAAGAAGGCCACGUGUGUCAACACCUCAGCACCCGUCAGCAAGAUUAUUUUUUCCAUCAAAAAGAGACCAGUGUCAAGUCAGGCAUAGUGUUUCAUGCCUGUAAUCCCAGCACUCAUAAGGCUGAGGCAGGAGGAUGGCAUUCUGAGAUCAGCCUGAGCUACACAGCUGGGUCCCAUUCUGGGAGCACCUCUUACGCAACGGUCAGCAGAGAGAACAGUCCUCCCCACUGCUUUUUCACUCCCUGCUCUGACCUGGAUCUUCACACAAGGUCGUGGUGCAGUGAGACAGAAAGAACACCAUGCCUGACUCAGCUCUGCUCACUCUAGGUGUGCCACCUUAGCAUAUCAGGUGACUUUUCAGGGCCUCCCUCCGUUUUCUCAUCUGGUAAAUGAUGCUGCAUCAGACAACACUAUAGGGCCCUCUUGAGGAGAAGUCAGACCACCUGGAGUCAGAUCUCAGCUCUGGUACUGAGGCAGGAAGUCCAUCUCAGCUCUGUCUCUCCGACUCGCUAACAGCACCAGGAAGAGAAUGGCAACAGUACUUGUGAGGAUCUCAGGCGUCCACGCAUUUAAAGCACUUGGACUGAGCUGGCACAGAGGACUCCGAAUGUUAGUAGGAUUUCUUUUAGAGCUGUUGCUACUGUUACGGUCUCCACGUGUGGAUCCUAUCACACAAGGAAGAGCAAGGAUCCCAGCAGAGAUUGUAUGCUGCUUGUGAUCAUCUGCAGAAGGCUCUACACCAAGGAGUCUGUCUUAACCAGCAGUUCAACAGGGCUGCUGCUAUAAACAAGGACAUGUAUUGUCUGUCAACAUAACGCUGAGCCCAUAUUGCUCACUGUCAGGUUUCCACAGAAUGGUAUUACAUUAAAGAAAUAUAUUUGAUUUUUU